UACGAAGGGUGCUAGCGUUGUUCGGAAUCACUGGGCGUAAAGCGCGCGUAGGCGGCGUAACAAGUCAGAGGUGAAAGCCCAGAGCUCAACUCUGGAAUUGCCUUUGAGACUGAGUGGCUUGAGUACGAGAGAGGUGAGUGGAAUUCCCAGUGUAGAGGUGAAAUUCGUAGAUAUUGGGAAGAACACCGGUGGCGAAGGCGGCUCACUGGCUCGUAACUGACGCUCAUGCACGACAGCGUGGGGAUCAAACAGG
rnacentral:rRNA from 1 species